UCCAAUGGUCAGUCCUUCUAACUAGGACUGUAACUCCAAGCAUGCCUCCAAAUGACAGACUUCCUGGGACCAAAGACUGGCCCAUAGGCUGAGGGUCAACUUGAUAGACCAAAGUUGGCUUCAUCAGCAGAUCUGUGUGCCAGGGCCAGGGGAAGUAAAGGAAAAUCUGGAAUGGAAUUUAAGCUUAAAAGACACUGAUCACUAGGGAUCCUGGCUAGGAGAGUAAGCACCAACGGCCUGAAAGCCCCAGCCUCCAUCCACAUCCCUGGAAGAACUCCUUCACCAUCCAGCCUGCCUCGAAGGAGUGAUAGCACAUGAUGGCCAGGAUCUUAGCCAAGAGCUUUUGAACAAGGGCCUACAUGGUAGAAGUCUUAAUGGAGGUUUCCAGGCUUGGACAACUCACCAAGGUCACCAGUGACUUAGCAGAAAUAUGAAGAAACAGUGACUAACAAGUUACUAGAAGGUGGAGUAUGAGGACCAACAGAUAUGCAAUUACAAAAACCAAUCCUCAGGCUGGAUUAAGUCCACUAGAGUGCCACUCAUGGAGUGGACACUGGGUCCUGAUCCUAGGCCCCAGCUGAGCACUUCCUAACUGUAUGUGGAGAUGAACAUUCAGGAAGUGCAGGAAGCUUAUGUCAAUGGCCAGUGGAGUCAGCUGAGGAGUCAGCAGGCAUCAGUUCCCCAGGGAGGAUCUGGUGGGUAUGCUACUGUUGACAGAGCAGUCUCUGGAUGAGGGAGACGGUGCCCACACACACUGACAGUGAGAGCAGAGGGGACUCCAGGAAGAUGUGUGCCUCCUCUGAGGGCUGAGGGAAACAAAGGCAGGGGAUAUGAAAGCUCUUGUCACCUGACUGUAGGGCUGCAUCAUCUCUGUGCCACAGAGCUCCAGACAGGGAAUAAGGAUGCUUUAAAGGGAGGGCAACCCAAGCUCUCCCUACAGAUGCUCUUUGCUAACUUCCAAGCAGACAGGAGAUGAGAGGUGUAAGGAUGGCCACUGGUGACUCAACUUGUUACAGACUCUCUAAGGCUGGCUCUUUGUGCUCCAGGAGGACACUACAAGCUUCCUGACAAUGAGAAGCCAAGGCAGGCUGUGAAUGAAUCCCAUGGGAAGAGGACUGAAGGUUGUCAUAAAAAAUAGAUGUGACACAAUAA